GCCCCUGUAGCUCAGCGGAUAGAGCGCUUCCCUCCGGAGGAAGAGGUCGCACGUUCGAAUCGUGUCGGGGGCA
rnacentral:tRNA from 1 species